CAUUUACUUCCUCUGUAUUUGCAACUUUUGGGGGUUCAGUUUGCUUUCAUUUUAUUGAGACGGGUCUUGCUAUGUAGGUCUGGCUGACCCAGUACUCAUUUUGGAAUCUAGGUUGGCCUUGAAUUCAUGACAGUCCCCCUGCCUAAACUUACCCAGUGCUGGGAUUAGAAGUAUGCACCAGUGUGUCCAGAUGUAUCUAAAACAUUUUUGUCAUAGUUUCUAACAAGAGGACUUAAUAUUACCAGUAAAAUUCUGUUUCACUGGUGGUCAAAUCAGAGCAUUAAUGGACUCAGAACAGAUUAGCCCCAAGUGUCAGAGGUCAGGAGAAUCCUAGCUUUCCUCCAGCCUACGCUGCCAGAUCAGAGUCAGCUUCCACUCUAUGGCUUGCUAAUCCGACUCUCAGACUUCUCAGCACCCCUCUCUCUAGGAACUCUCUUCCCUGUAUCACACUCUUUACUGUAGUCAACAGAUCUUUCUAGACGCUCAUCUGACCCAAGUAUUAGUAAAUGCUAACUAUAUAGCAAGACCUCUCCUGAAAACUUGCAUUACAAGAUAAUUUGUUUUAUCCAGCAUUCUUGAUAUUUCAUCACACAAGAGUUUUCAGGUCAUCUAGUCUGACAGACAUAUUUCCUUCCAUUUAUACUAAAAAUCUGAGCAAGAACAUUUUUUAUUACUUUUUUUUUUUACAUCCUAUCAGGUUACUUAGCAAAUCUCAUUUUCAAAUCCUGUAAGUAGUUUGUCUUUGUUUCGCUAUUAUAAACAACUGUCAAGUUCCAGAGCGUGCAGUAGAACUACAGACUAAGAGUUUAGUCUUCUUGAGAAGACUAGUACUUAAGUGCAAAGCUGCAAUGUAUAUGCGCAGAAGUUCCCGGGAGCUAGCUGACUGUCAGAUCCUAAUGCUGUUAGUUACUCCCUGGUGGCAUCCUGCUCAGUUGACCAGAGCCUAUUCCUGGUCUCACUGAUGCUUCUGUCACUGUUAAAGGCUGAGUGUUACCUUUCUCCGUACACAGUCUUAAUCAGGGUGUCCCCUGGGAUUAUACCCAGGUGACUGGCACAGGGUCAGGGUGGGGUCUACACUCUACAGUUGAGCAUUUUCCUAGUUUCCUAUUGUGUUGUAUUUUUACCUGUUUAACCUUCAAUACCACAUUAUUUCCUUACCUCCAAGUUCUUACUGUAAAGGGGUAUUUGAUUGUUUCUAAGUAUUUCAUUGCAAUUGGAGGAAAUGCCCAUCAGUUUACAUUAAUUAUUUAUGUAUUUUGUUGGGCACACAUGUCACAGUGUGCAUUUAGAGGCUAGAGGACAACUUGCAGGAGUCUUUUCUAGAAAUGAAACUUGGCUUAGCAGGCUUCGUAGCAAGUAUCUUUACCCACUGAGCCAUAUCACUGGCUCCCAAAUAAUACUUUAAAUAAUUCUUCUAUGUGGUUCUGUCCAUUAUGUAGUUGCCAGGUUUUAGUCUCCCUGGGAAUUACUGGGAGGACACAUGACACUUUAUUGGCUACCUUCACUCUUGUUUACUGCUUCACUAUAUAAAGCCAGUUACUCUGACAGUCACUGAUUUAGACCUUGAGAUAGGCCGAAACUUGGAUUUGAAGCAUCUUGGAUUCUAGUAGACCUCGCAAACAUCUACUUAUCUGAAAACUAACAUUUGUACAUACUUUCAAAUGUCUCCUGAAUCCUGCUGGAAUACUCGUUCCCACAGUGACAGUUGCCAGUGCUCUGUCCAUAUUCCAUGUAUAAACAAGCUGUCUGCCCUCAAAUGUAUACCACUCUCUUGACACCUUCACUUAGGAUAUUUAACUCUCUGCUCAUGGGUAGAAUGUGUUUUUUUAUUUUGACUUUGCACUUUUCUUUCAUAGGCUGUGGGGCCUCCUCUCCACAAGUUCCCUGAGCCUUGAUGGGAUGAUGGAGAUGUCACAUUUAGGGCUGAGCACUGAGUGGGUGUAUAAUCCCAGUGUUGAGCAGUUAAGAGUCUCUGCACUAACUGCUGCCCACUAUAGAAGGAGACUUCUCUGGACAAGGUUGGGAGCAACUUUAAAGCUAUAAAUGUAAAUACUUAGAAGGCAGUCUGACAUUUCCUCUUAUCAAAACAAUAGUAGUAGAUUCCCCACUAGGACUUUUCACCUCCUAUGCCAUGCGUUUUGGGCUAGGUUUUUAAUAUGGAACAACUUUUAAGGCCACCAAGUUGCAGCAUGAUAAAUAUGUAGAUCCUUACCUAUCCAGUUUACUGUUGGCUUUCUGUAGUACAUAGAGAGUUC
rnacentral:lncRNA from 1 species